rnacentral:rRNA from 1 species
GUCCUUGCCGUAAACGAUGUAUACUUGAUGUAGCUAGGCUCAACCCUGGCUGUGUCGAAGCUAACGCGAUAAGUAUACCGCCUGGGGAGUACGCUCGCAAGGGUGAAACUCAAAAGAAUUGACGGGGGCCCGCACAAGCAGUGGAGCAUGUGGUUUAAUUCGAUGCAACGCGAAGAACCUUACCCAGGCUCGAAAUGUAAUGGACAUCACCAGAGAUGGUGAGUUCCGCAAGGACCGUUAUAUAGGUGCUGCAUGGCUGUCGU